CUCGGGCGGACUCUCGCGAGGGUCCUCGAGACUUCGCGCGGAACCUAGCAGCGGUUGCCUGGAGACCGCGCAGCCUGUGCUGUGUUGGCGCGUUGGUCUGCGGGUCGCGGCCGGAGGGACUCCGGAGCCAUGGCGCCCAAAAAGAAAGGGAAGAAAGGGAAAGCCAAAGGUACCCCGAUCGUUGACGGUCUCGCUCCGGAGGACAUGAGCAAGGAACAGGUGGAGGAGCACAUUGGCCGCGUCCGGGAGGAGCUGAGCCGUGAGCGGGAGGAGCGCAGCUACUUCCAGCUGGAGCGGGACAAAAUCCACACUUUCUGGGAGAUCACGCGGAGGCAGCUGGAGGAGAAGAAGGCUGAACUGAGGAACAAAGACCGGGAGAUGGAGGAGGCUGAGGAGAGGCACCAGGUGGAGAUCAAGGUCUAUAAGCAGAAAGUGAAGCACUUGCUGUACGAGCAUCAGAACAGCUUGAUGGAGAUGAAGGCGGAGGGCACCGUGGUCAUGAAGCUGGCGCAGAAGGAGCACCGCGUGCAGGAGGGGACGCUGUGCAGGGACGUGCGGGCGCUGAAGGUGGGGCUGAAGGAGCAGGAGCUGGCCAGCGAGGUGGCGGUGAAGAACCUAAGGCUGAAACACACCGAGGAGAUCACCAAGAUACGCAAGGACUUUGAGCGGCAGGUGCGAGAAAUCGAGGCCAAGUAUGAUAAGAAGGUCAGGAUGCUUAGGGAUGAGCUUGACCUGCGCCGGAAGACAGAGAUCCACGAGGUGGAGGAGAGGAAGAACGGCCAGAUCAGCAUGCUUAUGCAGCGCCACGAGGAGGCCUUCACGGACAUCAGGAACUAUUACAACGAAAUCACCCUCAACAACCUGGCUCUCAUCAGCUCCCUCAAGGAGCGGAUAGAGCGCAUGCGGAAGAGGGAGGAGCUCCUGGAGAAGGAGGUGACGGAGGCGUCCACGCAGAACAGGCGCCUGGCAGACCCCCUGCAGGAGGCUCGGGACGAGAUGAGUGAGAUGCAGAAGCAGCUUGGGGGCUACGAGAGGGACAAGCAGAUCCUGCUGUGCACGAAAGCCCGUCUGAAAGUCACCGAGAAGGAGCUGAAGAGCCUGCGGUGGGAGCACGAGGUGCUGGAGCAGCGCUUCACCAAGGUGCAGCAGGAGCGGGACGAGCUGUACCGGAAGUUCACCGCAGCCGUCCUGGAGGUGCAGCAGAAGGUGGGCUUCCAGAACCUCGUCUUGGAGCGCAAGGUACAGGCACUGGCCGCCGUGGUGGAGAAGAAGGAGGUGCAGUUCAACGAGGUGCUGGCAGCCUCCAGCCUGGACCCUGCGGCCCUGACCCUCGUGUCCCGCAAGCUGGAGGACGUUCUGGAAUCGAAGAACAGCACCAUCAAGGACUUGCAGUACGAGCUGGCCCGGGUCUGCAAGGCCCACAAUGACUUGCUGCGUACCUAUGAGGCGAAGCUCCUGGCCUUUGGGGUCCCCCUGGACAACGUGGGCUUCAAGCCCCUGGAGACUGCCGUGAUCGGGCAGACGCUGGGCCAGGGCCCCGCAGGACUCGUGGGCACCCCAGCGUAGCCCCUGCCCGGGGCCACUGCCCAGAUGACACCCCCCUCACGCACCGAGGACAGCAGGUGAGUGUGAUGCUGGAGUUGCAGCGUUCUACCCCCGCCCCCUCCCCGGCACCAGGAGGACAGACACGGGCCCGCCCUAAGGAAGACGUACGCUGAGGAGGAAAGAAGCUGCAUCCCUGGUGUUGCCACUGGGCUGCCUGGCAGGUGGGUGGGGCCUUUCGCGUCUGGAUUGUGUUACGCGCAGUGAUUUUAAACCACUCGUGUUGAUUUUUCCAGGUGGGUAGCCCAAAGCGUUUCUGCUUCAGGGAGUUGAGAUCAUGCAGGUAAAACGUAUAACUACACACAGGGUGCUCAGUACCUUGGAACUGACCAUUCUUCCCGGGUGGCCAAGACGCUGAGCAGCAACGAGGGACUCCCGUCCUCCUGUCCCAGUGAGAAGGCAGCUGGUCGGGCUGCCGUCUGGGUCUGCGCUGGUGCUGGGAGGUCCCCGCCCUACCCUGAGCCCCUGGAGAGGCCCACGUGGGACCACCCUCUGGGGCCCCGCUGAGGCACUGCAGCUGUGCUAUGACACGAAGGGUGCCCGAGCCCCUGCCCCUACUCCACGCCCCACCCCCGGAGUCCUUCCAGGCCGCUGUGACGGAAAUUUGUGGUCAGAACUCAACGGAAGGGACAUGAGGGCAGCUGGGACCUUCCUCCACUGAGGAAAUAUUGAACAUCGCCAGGUACACUGAGGUGACACAGGUGACAAGGGGAAGGCCAUUUCACAUGGUACUGUGAGCUGAGAAGGCCACACGAUGGGCGGUGCCAGAGGGUGACAGGUGCUGGAGGUCAGGGGGCCUGCCGGCAGGCUGAGGAAGGCGAAGCCAAGGGUGGGGGUCACAGGAGGGGUGCAUUUGGCCCCCGGUAGAAUUUCAGCUCCCCAAGGACCUAGGUUAUUGUCUGUUUCCUCAAGGCUGUUCCUGUGCCUGGGAUAGGACCUGGCCAGAGGUAGGUGCUAAAUCAAUAUCCCUUGAAUGAAUGGACAGAAGGAGUGUGCAGAUAUGCACAGAGGGCCAGUGAGUGUGCAGAUACGCAAGGGCAGAGACGUCAGGCUGCAGAGCGGGAGUUAAGUAGAUAAAGAAGGCAGAGAUGCAAGAGAGUGCGGGAGGGAGAGAGGCAUGGUUUCCGGGCCCUGCUUCCCAGCCCUCACAGGGCUCUCCUCCACCCCAAGCCCGUCUGCACUCUGUUUCUUUACGGGAAGCUCCCUCUGUCCUUCACUCACCCGUGUGUCCUGCACUGCGCGUCUCCGAAGCAGCUCCGAGUCUGUUCCCACCACACCACCUGUGCCCGAAGCCUCCUUAGCCCUAAGCCGGGGCAUCGGAGAGCUCUGGCCAGAGAUGAGGCCCCUUCCCUGCCCCGGGACAACCGCACCUUGUCUGUGUCGUGGACUCUGCUUUCUGCACCUGUGUGCCCGUUCGGGUCACUGCCUGGGCCAGGAUUGGCUGCCCUCGCCCUGGGACAGGGAGCAUUCGUGGGUCAGUGCAUCCCAGCGGGUUCUAAUGUUCCGCCAGGCUGAGGACCGCUGGCCUGCAUCAUGACACUGCUGCUCAGCAGUGACACAUGGGCCACCGUAGAACAUAGUUCACGAGACGUCCGCUGGUCUCAGCUGGACUGCGAGGUCGGGCCGAGGAUGGGAGUGUUGGUGCCUCUGGUGCCUGGGAUUGCGGCUGCGAUCACAAGCCUUCACCUUGGGGGUUGCCGGCACACAGGCACGUGGUGGUCAGCGCGGGGGUCAGAGGUGCCGCCGGAGAGCAGACGCGCCAGAUGUGGGGGACCUUCCCUCCACUAAGUGACGGGCUUCCCGGGCGCUGUCUUGUCAGGCUCACCUCAGGGCUCAUCUUGGCCCACCACUCAGCAGAGAAGCAGACUUUGAUAAAUUCAGACCAUCCCCUUGCAAAACUGACCCAGGAGGAGACUUCCCCCGGAUUGAGAUCUGCUCAACGUAUUCCCAGUCCCAGCACCGAACUGGGGGGUCCUGGGACCCCUUCAGUUAUGUGGUCAACACUUACGGGGUCAGGAUGCCAGGAAUGUUUUCCGGUUUCACCAGGGGAUGUGGUCUAAUUUUGUGGCAGGCAGAGCCACUUCUUUUUGCCAGUUAGAGGAGGGGCCUUGUGGGUACAGUUCUGAUUUCCUCCAGGGAAUCCCUCAGGGCGCGCUGUGCCCGGGGCUCACCGUCAGCCUGUGUGCGCCAGCAGGACCCCGCCUGCAGCCGCCGCCUCUUCGGACUGGUUGGUCCAUGUGCCAGCUGGUCUGGGGUCUGUUCUCAUGGGGUGAGUGUCUGUUCUGAGUGGCUGGUGUCUUCUUCUUUGUUUAAUCGAUAUUUUUUUAAUUGACAUAUAGUUGAUGUACAAUGUUGUGUUAAUUUCUGCUGCGCAGCAAAGUGAUUCAGUUAUACAUAGGUAUACAUUCUUUUUUAAAAAUAAUCUUUUCCGUUAUGCUUUACCAUAGGAUAUUGAAUGUAGUUCUCUGUGCUGUACAGUAGGACCACGUUGUUUAUCCAUUCUGUAUAUAAAAGCUUGCAUCUGCUCACCCCAACCUCCCACUCCCUCCCUCCCCCAGCCCCCAUCCCCUUGGCAAACACCAGUCUGUUCUCUAUGUCCGUGAGUCUGUUUCUGUUUCAUAGACAGGUUCAUUUAUGUCAUGUAUAGAUUCCACAUAUAAAUGAUUCCAUGCAGUAUUUGUGUUUCUCUGUAUGACUUACUUCACUUAGUAUGAUAAUGUCCAGGUCCAUCCAUGUUGCCGCAAAUGGCCUUAUUUCAUUCUUUCUUAUGGCUGAGUAGUACUCCAUUGUAUAUAUGUACCACAUCUUCUUUAUCUCUUCAACUGUUGGUGGACAUUUAGGUUGCUUCCAUGUGUUGGCUGUUGUGAAUAGUGCUGCUAUGAACAUAGGGGUGCAUGUAUCUUUUUGAAUUACAGUUUUGUCUGGAUAUAUGUCCAGGAGUGGGAUUGCUGGAUCAUGUGGUAGUUCUAUUUUAGUUUUCUGAGGAACCUCCAUACUGUUCUCCAUAGGGGCUGCACCAAUUUACAUUCCCACCAACAGUGUAGGAGGGUUCCCUUCUCUCCACACCCUCUCCAGCAUUUAUUAUUUGUAGAGUUUUUAAGGACAGCCAUUCUGACCCGUGUGAGGUGGUACCUCAUUGCAAUUUUGAUAUGCAUUUCUCUAAUAAUUAGUGAUGUUGAGCAUCUUUUCAUGUAUUCUUCUUCUUCCUUUUCUUUUUUAAAAAUAUUUAUUUAUUUAUUUGGCAACACGCGGGAUCCUCGUUGCCACGUGCGGGAUCUUUGUUGCAGCGUGCAGGAUCUUACGUUGUGGUAUGCAAGAUCUAGUUCCCUGACCAGGGAUCAAACCCGGGCCCCAUGCAUUGGGAGCUCAGAGUCUUAACCAGUGGACCACUAGGGAAGUCUCCUGUAUGUCUUCUUUGGAGAAAUGUCUGUUUAGGUCUUCUGCCCAUUUUUUGAUUGGGUUGUUUGUUUUGUUUUUUUGUUGCUGAGUUGUAUGAGCUGUUUGUAUAUUUUGGAAGUUGAGCCCUUGUAGGUCGCAUCGUUUGCAAAUAUUUUCUCCCAUCGUGUAGGUUGUCUUUUCGUUUUGUUUAUGGUUUCCUUUGCUGUGCAAAAGCUUGUAAGUUUGAUUAGGUCCUAUUUGGGUUUUUUGUUUGUAUGUUUGUUUCUAUUGCCUUGGGAGACUGACCUAAGAAAACAUUGGUAUGAUUUAUGUCAGAGAAAGUUUUGCCUACGUUCUCUUCUAGGAGUUUCAUGGUGUCAUGUCUUAUGUUUACGUCUUUACCGCUGGUGCCUGUUCUGGUUGGGUGGUGUCUGUGCCUCACCAGCUGGGACAAAUGUAGAUUUGAUUGCGUCACUGGGUGGCCCCCUCCUGAGCCCUGACCUGUCACUGCAGCCCGGCACAGGGGCACACCGAUGGCUCCCCUGUGCUGGUUGAUGGUGAACGUGUUGUGACGCGGCACUGAGGCGCUUGGCUGAGGGAGUAGGCAGUGGCCACAUUGUUCGU